rnacentral:rRNA from 1 species
GACGAACGCUGGCGGCGUGCCUAAUACAUGCAAGUAGAACGCACAGUUUAUACCGUAGCUUGCUACACCAUAGACUGUGAGUUGCGAACGGGUGAGUAACGCGUAGGUAACCUGCCUGGUAGCGGGGGAUAACUAUUGGAAACGAUAGCUAAUACCGCAUAAUAUUGAUUAUUGCAUGAUAAUUAAUUGAAAGGUGCAAUUGCACCACUACCAGAUGGACCUGCGUUGUAUUAGCUAGUAGGUGAGGUAACGGCUCACCUAGGCGACGAUACAUAGCCGACCUGAGAGGGUGAUCGGCCACACUGGGACUGAGACACGGCCCAGACUCCUACGGGAGGCAGCAGUAGGGAAUCUUCGGCAAUGGACGAAAGUCUGACCGAGCAACGCCGCGUGAGUGAAGAAGGGUCUCGGAUCGUAAAGCUCUGUUGUAAGAGAAGAACGGGUGUGAGAGUGGAAAGUUCACACUGUGACGGUAUCUUACCAGAAAGGGACGGCUAACUACGUG